AAAAUGUUCCAGCACAAAAUAACAAGGAGUGUCUGACUCUGACAGUAAAUAUUCAUAUCAGAUGCUUUAAAUAGUGCUGCAUAUACAUAUAAGGUGUUAGUUCUACAGUUCAGGAUAGUUCAGUUCUCACCUACUCAUCAUGUUGAAGCUGAUCCUCUCUGUGACCGUCCUCUGGACAUUCUUCAGUCAAGCUGCAGCACUUGAUUGUCUAAGUUGCAAUGGUACAUGUUCAACUGAAACUACAGUUACAUGUUCUACAGAAACUAUGUGUGUAACUGCCACCAUCACAGAGACAUCCAUUUUUUCAGCUGACACAACAAAAAUCCACAAAGGAUGUGCAUCAUCAGAUCUGUGUCCAAUCACAGGCUCUCAAACAUAUGAACUUAACUUGGGUGUUUCAGGUGCACUGAUAUCUGUUGAGUGCUGUAACUUUGAUGGGUGUAACAAUGAUACCUUACCUGCACAUACUCAGUCACAGACUCUAAGUGGUCUCAGUUGUUUCUCCUGUGUAUUCGGUCGAUGUGAUGGUUCGAUUGACUGUAAGGGAGACGAGACCCUGUGUAUUCAAGGAACAUUGAACGAAGAAAUUCGUGGUUGUGUAUCACCAAAUGUGUGUCCUGCAAGUAGAAGGUUGGGAGAACUACCAUUAUUACCAGAUUUAGGAACCUUCAGCUCUGGACCAAACUGUUGUGAUACAGAUGAAUGUAAUGAUGGAACUACAACUACCCCACCUCCAACUACAACACCUGAAAGACUCAGAUGUCAAAGUUGCAAUGGUUCAUGUUCAACUGAAACUACAGUUACAUGUUCUACAGAAACUAUGUGUGUAACUGCCACCAUCACAGACACAGCAUCUGGUUCAUCUGACACACGAUACUACAAAGCGUGUGCAUCAUCAGAUCUGUGUCCAAUGACAGGCUCUCAAACAUAUGAACUUGACUUGGUUGUUUCAGGUGCACUGAUAUCUGCUGAGUGCUGUGACACUAAUGGGUGUAACAAUAAUACCUUACCUGCACAUACACAGUCACAGACUCUAAAUGGUCUCCGGUGUUUAUUCUGUGCUUUCGGCCGAUGUGAUCUUUCACUUGCCUGUAUGGGAGACGAGACGCUGUGUAUUCAAGGAACAUUGAACGAUGAAGCUUAUGGCUGUGUAUCACCAAGUGUGUGUACUGCAAGUAGAAGGCUGGGAGAAAUACCAUUAUUACCAGAGUUAGGAACCUUCAGCUCUGGACCAAACUGUUCUCAUACAGAUGUAUGUAGUGAUGGAACAACUACCACACCUCCAACCACAACUACCACACCUCCAACUACAACUACCACACCUCCAACUACAACUACCACACCUCCAACCACAACUUCCACACCUCCAACCACAACGACCACACCUCCAACUACAACUACCACACCUCCAACUACAACUACCACACCUCCUACUACAACUACCACACCUCCAACCACAACUACCACACCUCCCACUACAACUACCACACCUCCCACUACAACUACCACACCUCCCACUACAACUACCACACCUCCAACUACAACUACCACACCUCCAACCACAACUACCACACCUCCCACUACAACUACCACACCUCCCACUACAACUACCACACCUCCAACUACAACUACCACACCUCCAACCACAACUACCACACCUCCUACUACAACACGUGAGUUUAGUUCAUACAGUUUAAAAAUGGUUAAUUUUCAUAUUCUAUUCAAAUUUUGAUGUUUAAAAUAUAUUUAUUAUCAUCCUGUGAUUUUAUCUUCACUACAGCUGGAGGACUUAAAUGUCUAAGUUGCACUGGUUCAUGUUCAACUGAAACUACAGUUACAUGUUCUACAGAAACUAUGUGUGUAACUGCCACCAUCACAGGUUGGAUAUUUUUAUUUCCAUGCAUUAUGUUG
rnacentral:lncRNA from 1 species